UACGUAGGGUGCAAGCGUUGUCCGGAAUUACUGGGCGUAAAGCGUGCGCAGGCGGCUUUGCAAGACAGAUGUGAAAUCCCCGGGCUUAACCUGGGAACUGCAUUUGUGACUGCAAGGCUAGAGUGCGGCAGAGGGGGAUGGAAUUCCGCGUGUAGCAGUGAAAUGCGUAGAUAUGCGGAGGAACACCGAUGGCGAAGGCAAUCCCCUGGGCCUGCACUGACGCUCAUGCACGAAAGCGUGGGGAGCAAACAGG
rnacentral:rRNA from 1 species